AGUGAACGCUGGCGGCAGGCCUAACACAUGCAAGUCGAACGGCAGCACAGAGGAGCUUGCUCCUUGGGUGGCGAGUGGCGGACGGGUGAGGAAUACAUGGGAAUCUGCCCAAUCGUGGGGGAUAACGUAGGGAAACUUACGCUAAUACCGCAUACGACCUACGGGUGAAAGCGGCGGACCGCAAGGCGUCGCGCGAUUGGAUGAGCCCAUGUCGGAUUAGCUAGUUGGCGGGGUAAAGGCCCACCAAGGCGACGAUCCGUAGCUGGUCUGAGAGGAUGAUCAGCCACACUGGAACUGAGACACGGUCCAGACUCCUACGGGAGGCAGCAGUGGGGAAUAUUGGACAAUGGGCGCAAGCCUGAUCCAGCCAUGCCGCGUGAGUGAAGAAGGCCCUCGGGUUGUAAAGCUCUUUUGUCCGGAAGGAAAAGCUUUCGGUUAAUACCCGGAAGUCCUGACGGUACCGGAAGAAUAAGCACCGGCUAACUUCGUGCCAGCAGCCGCAGUAACAC
rnacentral:rRNA from 1 species